CAGUAGCCGCGGGAAUACGAAGGGUGCAAGCGUUACUCGGAAUUACUGGGCGUAAAGCGUGCGUAGGUGGUUGUUUAAGUCUGCUGUGAAAGCCCUGGGCUCAACCUGGGAAUUGCAGUGGAUACUGGGCAACUAGAGUAAGGUAGAGGAUAGUGGAAUUUCCGGUGUAGCAGUGAAAUGCGUAGAGAUCGGAAGGAACAUCUGUGGCGAAGGCGACUAUCUGGGCCAACACUGACACUGAGGCACGAAAGCGUGGGGAGCAAACAGGAUUAGAUACCCCGGUAGUCCCUGUCUCUUAUAC
rnacentral:rRNA from 1 species